UCUGUUUCCUGCUCUGGUGCAGCAGCAGCUCAUAGCCCAGUGGUUCCUCCCUCACCCUUUUGGGCUCCCCUCCCAGUGCAGAGCCUGAAAUCCCAGAGGAAACAGAUCCUUUUCAUCUAGAGGAAGAACACCAACAUGGUGCUGCCCAGGCUGCUGAAGCUGGUCAUGGUGUCCAUGUGGCUGGGAUUCAGUUUUGCCCAGAAGGUGACUCAGGCCCAGCCAGCCAUGUGGGUGCAGGAGAAGGAGGCUGUGAGCCUGCUCUGCUCCUAUGACACUAGUGGUACAAGUUAUGGUCUCCUCUGGUACAAGCAGCCCAGCAGUGGGGAGAUGGUCUUCCUCAUCCUUCAGAACUCUUACAGCCAGCAAAAUGCCACAGAAGGUCGCUACUCAGUGAAUUUGCAGAAGGCAAGCAAAUCCAUCCAGCUUGUCAUCUCAGCCUCACAGCUGGGGGACUCAGCGGUGUAUUUCUGUGCACUGAGAGAUGACACAGUGAGAGGACUGUUGGAGGCAGUUGUACAAAAACCCAGGGUCUGCCUGAGACAGCCACCUGCUGUAGGGACCAAG